GACGAACGCUGGCGGCGUGCUUAACACAUGCAAGUCGAACGGAAAGGCCCUGCUUUUGUGGGGUGCUCGAGUGGCGAACGGGUGAGUAACACGUGAGUAACCUGCCCUUGACUUUGGGAUAACUUCAGGAAACUGGGGCUAAUACCGGAUAGGAGCUCCUGCUGCAUGGUGGGGGUUGGAAAGUUUCGGCGGUUGGGGAUGGACUCGCGGCUUAUCAGCUUGUUGGGGGGGUAGUGGCUUACCAAGGCUUUGACGGGUAGCCGGCCUGAGAGGGUGACCGGCCACAUUGGGACUGGAAUACGGCACAGACUCCUACGGGAGGCAGCAGUGGGGAAUAGUGCACAAUGGGCGGAAGCCUGAUGCAGCAACGCCGCGUGCGGGAUGACGGCCUGCGGGUUGUAAACCGCUUUCGCCUGUGACGAAGCGUGAGUGACGGUAAUGGGUAAAGAAGCACCGGCUAACUACGUG
rnacentral:rRNA from 1 species